GGACUUGCGCGGCGCGUGGGGCGGGGCAUAGAUGCUCCCCGGCCUGGCUCCGAGUAACUGCGAGCUGGAGGCGCGGCUGCUCUCUCGGGCGGACCUCAGCUCUCCGAACCCUGUGGCUGCCGGAGCACUGAGCGCCCUGCCCGGAGUCCCGCGGAGCCUGGCGAGGAGGGGUCGCUGCAUCCCGAGGGGCAGCCCUGAGCCGGGAGAAGAUGAAACAGCUGUCAUGGAAAUAUUUUUUAAAUCUCGUACUGGUCAAACGGUGUAAACUUUGCUGGAAGGAACCUUACUCAGAGGGCCAAUCACCUGCUUCUCUAGAGUUCUCAAGCUCUCCUGUGAGCACCAGGUUGAGCUGCAGAAAGCCAGGACCAGCUCAGAAACUGAGAAAUGGACAUGAAGAUGCCCAGGAAACAUCUCUACAGCAUCCCUAACUGGGGGUUGAUCCAUUGAUUUCCAGACACAGAGAACAGAGUCACAUUCUGCUGUUUCCAUAUGUACUAUUUUAGUAAGACUUCUUGGGGCACAAGGCAGGAAGUUGGGGACAAUACAUUUGUCUGCACCAAGGCAGCCUGAGAAGAGAGAAGUGAAUACUCCUGGGGGUAUUCUAUAUUAUUCACUUAAUAUUCUAAGUGAAUCCUCUAGGGGUACCUGAGACAUGGAGUAUGAAAGUACACAUUCAAAAAAGUACCAGCUUUAAAACUAGAUUAUCUCUACUAUUCAAAAACACCAAGGAAAGGCCACACAAUGGAGACAAAGUGCAUCUGAGAUCUAGCAAAUUUCCCUGUUGGCCACAUACUGAUAAUGAUGUAUUAAAAUCAAUUCUAUACUGUGGGGUACUUAUUUGACAUUAAUAGGUACUAUGGUGGCUUAACAUAGUUGCUGCCCAGAGAAAACGCCGCACACUCACCUACACUAAAAUGAAGUCUGAGUCAGCUGCCUCCCCUCCGCCAUCCCUUCCAAAGCCAAUGGUUGAAAGUCACAGAAGUCCCUCUGCUGCCACCUAGUGACGACAAUGUGAAUACAACUACACAGCCUCCUGGGAAAGAAGUUUUGAACCACGUUUACUUCUAAAGGAAGCCUGUAAUUACCUCUGAGUGCUCUAUUUUGGCUACAAUUUAAAAACAUAUAUAUUUUAAAACUCUGUAAACUCUUAUGCAUAUCCCUUUUUAAGAAUCUGACCUGUAAUGGAUGUAGCCUCACUUUCAAGAACCUAAAAGCUAUGCCCCCAAUUCAGGGAGUAGAACAGACAGGCUUAACAGCAGUGCCUAAAAAUGCUACUAAAUUUAUCUUUAAAAUGCCUGUGGUUCCUUAGCACUUGAAUUCCGUUAUGCCCCUGGGUAUAGUCACCUGGAUGUUAGGGGCUGUCAAAAUUCGGCCCUCAGUUGGUGAUCAGUAGGUUUUCCCUUUAAGUGGUUUCUGAAAGGAUUUUUUAAAAAAAAUCUUGAAAUUCUCAUGUCUGGAUGAUGUUUCCAGUUUUGUGGAAGAAUAAAAGAAAAGGGACAUGAAAUUCUGGCUCCCUGGGGGCAGUGGCUGUGUCUUAUUAAUCUCUGUGCCCAUUGUACCAACACCGGUCAGUCACAGCAUGUACUCAACCAAUGCUGAUGAAUGCAGAGGGGCGAGGGGCUGGCACACUCUUGACCCCUUAUAGGGGCUGCGUCGAUGGCCAGGGUUCAAUGGGAACUUUCUGGUACAGUCUUGCUCUGCCAAUCUUUCAAAUUAAGUGCAGCACAGUUGGAAGCCUCACAUUCUCAUAGACGGGUUGAGGAGGGCAUUAGGGGCAGAAAGGCUCACAUAAGGCCUGAGCAUGAGGUUUCCUGCCCAACACUGCUGUGCCAUUGCAGCCCACCUUCUUCUCACCUUUCCUUCCACGCCACGGCAUGGCAGGUGCAGAAACCAUGCUGGGAUUGAGGCCCUAGAGGCUGACUACAGGUCUUGGGGGCAAAACAUCUGGACACACAGCUGAAGAUGAGCCAAGUAUAUUAGUCAGAGUUCUCUAGAGAAACAGAACCAACAAGAUAGAGAGAUGCAGAGAGAGAGAGAGAGAGACAGACAGACAGAUUUAAGUAACUGACCCAUAAAAUCUUGGAGGCUUGGCAAGUCCAAAAUCUGCAAGAUGGAAGUGGGCUGGCACAUUGGAGACUCAAGGAAGAGUUGCAGGUUGAGUUCAAAGGCUGGCUGCUGGCAGAAUUCCUUUCUGCUCAGGUGAAGUCGGUCUCUGUUCUAUUAAGACCUUCAACUGAUUGGAUGAGGUCCACCCAUAUUAUGAAGGGUCAUUUGCUUUACUCAACAUCUACUCAUCUAAAUAUUAAUCUCAUUGAAAAAAAACCCCAGAAACAUCCAGAAUACCAUUUGACCAAAUGUUUGGACAAUGCACCCUAGCCACAUUAACACACAAAAUUAACUGUCACAGCAAGACACCAGGGAAGCAUUGGAAGAUGUUAGCGGCUGUCAUUGAAAUGGGUGCCCUCAGGUGGACGGCAGCCAUCCAUCGGGCAAGAGCAGGGCAGCUGGAAGGCCCCUCCCCUCCCGUUUGCUUUCUGCUCUUCACAGCUCACGGAUAGAGGAAUUUUCUCAGCACAUUUCCCAGGAGGAGUUUGGCACCACCAUUUCUUGAAAACAGAUGUCUGCAGGGAUGUGUGUGUGCCUGUGAAUAUGAAGUCCAGAGCCUGGGACUGAGAACAGCAAGGGGAACAGGUGGCCACGGGGGAGUUUCCAGAUUGCUGACUUAAGAUGUGCUCCCAGGGCUGCACUGGUGUCGGUCGUGAGAGCAAUCAUGGUUUGUGCAACGUCUGAACUUUCUAUCAACUUAUGGUUUAAUCAAUUUGCUGUUUACUCCAGCUAUUUGCAACCUCUCCUCAGUUACUUGGUGUUCAGCAGUGUAAUAUAUCUUCAUGUGUGAAUAUAAAUAUACUAUUUAGUGGAAACUAAAAGGAAUUGUGGAGGAAGAAUUUUUUUGGAUAAUUUUAUGUUUUCAUAAUGUAAAAAUUAAAGAUAUUUGAGGAGUUGAGUAUGUCAGUUUUGGGGAUGCAAGAGAAUGACUUCGGGACUACCAUAAUAUUUAAAAUCAUCACUACUCUUUCUUUCCACCUAAGUCUCGUAGCAAAAGAGGAAAUUUACUUCAGUCUCUUUCUGUAGCAGAACAUUAUCAUGCUGUAUUCCUGUGGUCACUUAUCUGCGCUGGAUUGUGAGUCCUUACAGAGAGAAAUUGUUAUGUGCUAUAUUCCCAACACCUGCACAUUAUAGGUGGUCACUAAAUGCUUGAUGAAUAAAUGAAUGAGGCAAUAA